rnacentral:rRNA from 1 species
GACGAACGCUGGCGGCGUGCCUAAUACAUGCAAGUUGAGCGCUGAAGGUUGGUACUUGUACCAACUGGAUGAGCAGCGAACGGGUGAGUAACGCGUGGGGAAUCUGCCUUUGAGCGGGGGACAACAUUUGGAAACGAAUGCUAAUACCGCAUAAAAACUUUAAACACAAGUUUUAAGUUUGAAAGAUGCAAUUGCAUCACUCAAAGAUGAUCCCGCGUUGUAUUAGCUAGUUGGUGAGGUAAAGGCUCACCAAGGCGAUGAUACAUAGCCGACCUGAGAGGGUGAUCGGCCACAUUGGGACUGAGACACGGCCCAAACUCCUACGGGAGGCAGCAGUAGGGAAUCUUCGGCAAUGGACGAAAGUCUGACCGAGCAACGCCGCGUGAGUGAAAGAAAGGUUUUCGGAUCGUAAAAACUCUGUU